GCUCCCACAUUGUUAUACAUUUCUGGGAUAGAGAAAUAAAAAAGGCAGUAAAAAAGUUAUAACAAGUUUGCUUCUAGAAGAAGUACCAAUUAGCAAGCCAGGGUAAGCAACUAGCAUACCAAAACUUAUGCAAUGGACAAAUUUUAAGCAAUAUAUAAGGUUUAGGGUCAACAUUUAAAAGAGGGAGACUGGUUAAAAAGAGUUGAAGUUAGAGUCCAGUAAAAUGAGGAAAAAGAGGAAUCAAAGACUAUUAGUGAAGCUGUAAAAAAGUACUUGAGGUACUGUAGCAGACUGGCACCGGUGGAAAAUAAAGAGGAGAAAAGAUAGCAAAGAGGGAAGAUAAAACAAACCUUACAAACCAAAUCAAAAUGUUCAAAAUUUCUUAUCAAAAACCAACAAAAAUAACUAAGUUACGUGUGUAUCUGUAAAGACUUAAUAACUGCUUCUAAUCCUAAUGAGGUUAGUAAUCACAAAGCAGGAAAAAUAUAAAGCAAUAUUAAAUGGGCAGCAAACUUUCCUAUUUCACAAGAAACGUGAUUUUUAUAAUUAAGAAUUUAAUCACCAUAAAAUCUAAAUGUAGUUUUCCUUGGUUGCAGUAAUAACCCUACUUGCUAAAGUUUCCAUAUCAUUUAUAUACUCUCUUUUCCAAUGACAAAAUAUAAGAGGCACUUUCAUGUUUAUCUUCGACAUAUCAAAAUCUAAACACUAAGUCUUCUCCUUCAAGACUACAACACUGUUUCUCAUACAUCAUGACCAAGUACCAACAAUAUAAGCAAUACUCCAUCUCUCCAUGCAUGCAAAGCAGUUUCCCCAAAUUUCAAGGAUUCAAUCCUACAACCAAUACCACUGCUUAACUUAUGAGACCAUUGAAAUCUCUAUCCAAACUACCGCGAUUGCACGCAUCCAAUUAUGCAUAAAAGAACCGCAAAACAAGCAAGCAUUGCAGUAAGCUUGGUGUUUUCUAAGUACAACUUGCAAGACAUAUAGCCUCACCUGCAUCUACUACCAAGAUCAUCACGCAACCAAUAAUUCUAAAAGUAAUCAUUUCUUUUGUUUCAACUAAUAAAUAAGAAAAAUUCAACCUUUAAAAACUUCUUUCGUUUAUAAAAAGCCACCAAAAAGACACAUUCCGAUUCACAAUUGAUAAUAUCCUAUUUGCCUAAUAAAAGAAGCCCAUAUUCCAAACCCACAAAAAUCUGUCUAAGAAAGUUGCACAGCUACACUAACAGUAAAACCCAACCCACAAUUUGCGUUUAAGAAUCCAUCUUGUAAUUUCACAGCUUGUUUAAAGAAAAAAAAAAAAUUAAAGAACCCAUAUUAUUCUAAACUUUGAACGCCCCAAAAGAAAGAAGAAGAAGAAAUAGAUAACAAUACCCUUUUGCCCAUUAAUUAAAUACUUAACAUCUUUAGGCAUAUAUGCGGAAAGGAUCAGAAAUUGAAGAAAACUAAAGAAUUCAAGGAAGCCAUCAUUUCAAAUCUACACUACUUCCCUACCAAUCUACCACAAAUCCAAAUCCACAUCGAGUUAACACUAAAAUCAUACAUAUUCGUACAUUUCAAUCCAUUUAAUCUAUAUGUUAAUAUGCAUCCUGCAUAUGCACUCAUGCAAAUAA
rnacentral:misc_RNA from 1 species